CCUACGGGUGGCAGCAGUGAGGAAUAUUGGUCAAUGGACGAGAGUCUGAACCAGCCAAGUAGCGUGAAGGAUGACUGCCCUAUGGGUUGUAAACUUCUUUUAUAAAGGAAUAAAACGAGGCACGUGUGCCUUUUUGCAUGUACUUUAUGAAUAAGGAUCGGCUAACUCCGUGCCAGCAGCCGCGGUAAUACGGAGGAUCCGAGCGUUAUCCGGAUUUAUUGGGUUUAAAGGGAGCGUAGAUGGGUUGUUAAGUCAGUUGUGAAAGUUUGCGGCUCAACCGUAAAAUUGCAAUUGAUACUGGCAGUCGUGAGUACGUUUGAGGUAGGCGGAAUUCGUGGUGUAGCGGUGAAAUGCUUAGAUAUCACGAAGAACCCCGAUUGCGAAGGCAGCUUACUAAACUGUGACUGACAUUGAUGCUCGAAAGUGUGGGUAUCAAACAGGAUUAGAUACCCGAGUAGUC
rnacentral:rRNA from 1 species